UUUUUAUUUGUUACUAUUCUAGCAGUAAUUAGCUGACUUGCUCCUAAUGCCAGGAUUAUUCACUUUAGCUUGCUGUGGAAUGAUGGCAUGCACCUGAGGGAAGAUCCAAAUGUUAGUGCUUCAAGUUGCCACCUGGUGGUAUUGCACAUUGAAUGUACUGCUCAGGGGAUGUUUUGUUGGCUGUGGGUCCCCAGCACCCAAAGGAUGUGAUUGAUCCAAAAGAAGGAUGCUUUGGAAGGGGCUGGCCAGGGACGGACCCAGCUGUACUAUCUGCACCUGUGAAGCCUCGUUGA
rnacentral:lncRNA from 1 species